CGCUGCUCUGAUGGUAAUGGCUUAUCGGAACUUAUUAACAUGAGUGUCACUAAAGUUGGUAUACAAUCCCCCAUUGCCAAAUUUGACUGGCUUAA
rnacentral:Y_RNA from 1 species